GUUUUAAUAAUUUAAAUAAAAUAUUGGUCUUGUAAACCAAAUAUAAGAUUCAAUCUUUUAAAACU
rnacentral:tRNA from 1 species